CUACGGGUGGCUCCAGUGAGGAAUAUUGGACAAUGGUCGAAGGACUGAUCCAGCCAUGCCGCGUGCAGGAUGAAUGCCCUAUGGGUUGUAAACUGCUUUUAUACGGGAAGAACACCACCCACGUGUGGGUGACUGACGGUACCGUAAGAAUAAGGACCGGCUAACUCCGUGCCAGCAGCCGCGGUAAUACGGAGGGUCCAAGCGUUAUCCGGAAUCAUUGGGUUUAAAGGGUCCGUAGGCGGGCUAUUAAGUCAGAGGUGAAAGUUUGCAGCUCAACUGUAAAAUUGCCUUUGAUACUGGUAGUCUUGAGUUAUAGUGAAGUGGUUAGAAUAUGUGGUGUAGCGGUGAAAUGCAUAGAUAUCACAUAGAAUACCAAUUGCGAAGGCAGAUCACUAACUAUAUACUGACGCUGAUGGACGAAAGCGUGGGGAGCGAACGGGAUUAGAUACCCUUGUAGUC
rnacentral:rRNA from 1 species